AUUGAACGCUGGCGGCAUGCUUUACACAUGCAAGUCGAACGGUAACAGGCCGCAAGGUGCUGACGAGCGGCGAACGGGUGAGUAAUGCAUCGGAACGUGCCCAGUCGUGGGGGAUAACUACUCGAAAGAGUAGCUAAUACCGCAUACGAUCUAUGGAUGAAAGCGGGGGACCGUAAGGCCUCGCGCGAUUGGAGCGGCCGAUGUCAGAUUAGGUAGUUGGGGGGGUAAAGGCUCACCAAGCCAACGAUCUGUAGCUGGUCUGAGAGGACGACCAGCCACACUGGGACUGAGACACGGCCCAGACUCCUACGGGAGGCAGCAGUGGGGAAUUUUGGACAAUGGGCGCAAGCCUGAUCCAGCAAUGCCGCGUGCAGGAAGAAGGCCUUCGGGUUGUAAACUGCUUUUGUACGGAACGAAACGGCUCUGGUUAAUACCCGGGGCUAAUGACGGUACCGUAAGAAUAAGCACCGGCUAACUACGUG
rnacentral:rRNA from 1 species